rnacentral:rRNA from 1 species
GACGAACGCUGGCGGCGUGCUUAACACAUGCAAGUCGAACGAAGUGGCGAACGGGUGAGUAACGCGUAAUCAACCUGCCCUUCAGAGGGGGACAACAGUUGGAAACGACUGAUAAUACCGCAUACUGAAGGAGGGGAUUGCGUCUGAUUAGCUAGUUGGAGGGGUAACGGCCCACCAAGGCGAUGAUCAGUAGCCGGGCUGAGAGGAUGAACGGCCACAUUGGGACUGGGACACGGCCCAGACUCUUACGGCAGGCAGCAGUGGGGAAACUUCCGAAAUGGACGAAAGUGUGACGGAGCAACGCUGCGUGUGUGAUGACGGCCUUCGGGUUGUAAAGCUCUGUUAUUCGCAACGCGGUACCGGAAUAGAAAGCCACGGCUAACUACGUGCCAGCAGCCGCGGUAAUUC